rnacentral:misc_RNA from 1 species
AACCAAAGCCACGGCCCGAUUGACCACCAAUUCCUGUACGCAUAAUCCCGUAGUGGUUGGUUAUGUAGUAAUUCCAUUCAGGCAAGGAUUUUAGCUUGGCGUUAGCGUUAUGCAUGAUUGCAUCCAGCUCUUUGUUGUAUGCGCGGCCUUCCUUUGUGUUUCCCUUUCCUCGCGCUAUCACAACUCUCUUCCCGUCCAAAAAAUCCUCGCGUUUGAUUGUUAUCUGGCAUGGGAAUUCAUAUCCUUUUUCCCAAACGAAGCUUUGUAGAAGUCCGCCUUCUCCACCCCAGCUACGGGCUGUAGUCCAUGCGAUUGCGCCAACCUUUUCAGCGGCUGUGGUUAGGAUUGAAUUUCGUUGAUCGUUAAUGGUGUCGUAUGACUGGAUAAGCUCCUUAACAUCCUCACCCUCUACCAUGUAGUAGUCGUAAUAUUUGCUCUGGCCUGACAUUUAUUGUCUCCAAUAAAAAACCGCCAUCAGGCGGCUU